UCAGGUACCAAGUUUCUCUUUUUUGCUGAUAGAAAAUUUGUUGGUUGUGUUUGAGAAGUUGGGUGGGAAUGUUUUGGUUAGAAGGACCAAUACACUACUAACAAAUCUGACAGUAAACUCCAUUAGUUGGCUGGACAUCAUGGUAAUUGAGAAGCAUCACCAAAAAGUGAUCUUCAACUUUUUCAUCUUUGUGAGCAAGUUGGGCAAGUGUUGUUUUUCUGACACCUUCCAUGCCUAAAGUUGCAACUACGCCCAUAUUGUUAUGGUUAGUACUUCUUUCUGAUAGUAACAUGUUCAUUAUUUUCUCUUUGUCAUCUUCCCUACCAACCAUAACAAAUUCAUUGAACAUAGGACUUGAAGGUGUUCUAUGAGAAACUCGGUCACUUUUAGCUUUGAAACUAAUGAUAUCUUUAUUUUCCACAAAAUGUUUCCGGUUUAAGCACAUUUUUUCGUUUGGAAAUUGAUCUUUGUAUAGUUAUUUGUAGGAGAAAAAAAGAAAUUCCAGACCUGUUUAGUUUUGCUUGCAGGUUGCGUGUUCUCCGUCUUGCAUCGAAGGGAAUCAUAGUUAAUUUGGUUGAGCAGAUCUUCAGCAUUGUAGACAGCAUCUUUCAAGCCAUCAAGCCACUCUUUGACAAAAGUAGUUGGAGAUUGUUGAUCUUAAAGAUAUUGUUGGUAAAGCUCCUUCGAGGAAGCCGAUGACAAUAGUGAAAGAAACUAAUGGGAAGUUGAAUGUCAAGAAAGAAAUGGUGACUCCUGUGAUUAGAGCUAAUUAGGUGAAAUAGGGCUUUCUAGGUAUUAAACUAUUUUUGGAAGAGCUCUCUCAUGUCGAGUCUGAAAGGGGUGCCUUAUUGAAAAGUACAUUUGUAGAAAUUGAUUGAUCGCUUUUACGAACAUCACACUCAGUGGAAGUAAUUGGUGUAUGCAAAUGCUGGUAUGAGCGAACCAUUUUUUGAAAUUGCAACAGGGUUUGGUGACUCUUUGAAGUUAUAUCUAUAUUGGUUAUUGAACAUUAGAGGAUAAUGUUUUUGUCAAUAUGAUACUGUUUAGCAAUUAUUGUAUUGCUAUUGAACUAAUAUGUUUUGUAUUGGUUCAGAGCUAGGAUUUGGGUUUGACACCAAUAAGGAUUCAUGCUCAGUUUAUUGAGAAGAUCUUGCUUGCGUCGGUGCUUUUAGCAUUUGGGAGGGUUGCGUGAUAUCCAAUUUGAUGUUCUUACUUCUGUUGGCAAUCUUGGAUGUGUUUUGUCUAUCUGUUUUGACAGCCUCUUUGGUUUGUAAUCAGAAAGAGUUUGUUCAGAUGUGGUGAGUCACAAUCCUUGUCUAUUGUUAUUGUAUAGCCUGGUUGAGUUCAUAUCUUUUUACGUGGCUCGAUUAAGCUGUGGCGGUCUUAUCACUCAAGAUCAGGUGUUCGACGAUUAUAUCAUGCCAGCAUUUGUAGGUUGUGAUAAUGAUUAUGCAUUUGUUGGUUGGAGUAGCUGCUGAUGUAAUUUAGAGCUUUAUUGUGGGAGGUGUACAGGUUUUCGACAGUCUUUUAGCACGGAUGCCCGAACAUGUCAUCAUGAGGUACAUACCCAACAAUUCUUCACCAGUAAAUUUCUUUGUAUUGCUUUGUAUUGCUGUUGGGAAGAGAAAACAAUGUAUGAUUACUUGCUUAACCCCAAGAAGGAAAUGAAAGCUCUGGAGAGAUUUGUUUCUUUUUCUUUUCCAGCUAGAAGAUUUUGUGAAUGCUAAUGUGAAUUUCAGUUAGAGAGCUUUCAAUGGAAAUUCAGUCUUUAAACUAUCAUUAGUUACAAAACUGGAGUAAGAAUGUCUACUGAGUCAGUUCCCAAACCUCUAUCUGUGCUUUGUCCUGAAUUCUGGUAGUACCUUCAAAAGGCUCCAAAUUUAUAUGUGCACAGUGUGGUGGAUGUGGCACAAUUCUUCAAGGUUAAAAAUCUCAUUAUUGUUUAUAUUCUUACUUUUAAACACAUUGUUGUCAAGUAACAGUUAGCUAUAGUGUAGUGGAAUUUUAAAAACCUGCCGUUGUUCCACUAUAUGCGGUUUGGUACAAACUGUUGUCGAAGAGUUGCUAUACCGGUAUAACGUUG